GCCAAAGUCCUGAGAAAUCAGCUGGUGAGAGAGAACCAAGGCAGCAGAAUAAGCCGCUGUCGUUUCCAGGAGCCACUCUAUAAUGCGGGUAUAGACAAAAUUCCAAGGGAACACAGCUCAACAGCCAUCCUAUGCGGGGAGCCAGGGACGAAAGAAGCUGGGAAUGUUUUGGAAGAUACAACGUUAGAGGUCACCUUGACUGGCUCUCACACCCUGAAAGGGCAAUCAGCUGGGAACACUAUCUCUAGAAACCCAGCCUGCUGAUUAGACAGAAAAGAUGCUUACAACUCCUGUGAAGGCAGCCUCUCCCAGAACACCAGCACCCCAACAAAAUCAACUGUGUCCAUCUGUUGGCAUUCCUGGUCAGCCCCUGGCCAAAGGCAUACGCGGGGUUUUCAAUUCUGUUGGGCUCCUCUCUGAGCCUAAGAAACAGUUGGAAGGAAUGAGGAGAGACCGCUCUGUCCUCCUCCUCCUCCUCUGAUUUCUGGCCAUUUUGAAGUGGCUCGAUUUGAAGCGUUAACCUACAAGACUCCACAUCGCAGGAGCCAAGGCGAGGGGCCAGCGGAGUCCUAUUAACGUACAGCUUCCUCGUUUUCUUCUGCUGGCCUCUUUGAGAACAGAGCCGUGAACCUUUGUAGGGUAGCUCUUUCUUUUAAAACCAAAAGAGGCGGAUGAAACCCAGCAGAGGCAAUUGAGAAAGAAGAAGGAAAGUGCAAAGCAGGUCUGCUCUUCACACACAGCCGCGGUCUUAUUCCUGGGUGACUAAAGCCUCAUUCUGUAGAAAAAUGUAUUUUGCAUGCAACUUCAAUAUUCGAAGACAAAAGGAAGCAUGUGGAACCAGUUGAACCUUGGACCAUUGUCAACUGUUUAUUCACAUUCUAUCCAUUCAAUGCACGCCUCAGGUACACCACUGCUAACGUUCAUCAACUAUGGGCACAUUUUGAGAGUUAGGUUAUGCCAGGCACAAGCUCUGGCUUUAGCCAGUUAAGAGGAAGGUGGAGUGCAUUUACUCUCAGGACCUAGGUGCCAGAAAGCCUUUGAGACAUCCUAAAGGAAAAACGCAACAAGGAAAAAAAAAAAGUUUUUGAAAGAAGUCAUUUGUCUUUAGCCGAAUUCAUCUGGGUAUGAAACGGGUUGCUGCAGACAUAAAACUGUCUGGAGUCUGGCUUCAGGGUUUAGAAUGAUAAAAUAUUCAUGGUGUAUAAUUUUGCAUAAUUUGUUUAGCUACCAAGACAUAAUUUAGUUAUUUGGUACAUGAAUCCUUCAGAAGGCUUAAAGAAGAGAAAAACGGACCUUAAGAAGCUAACUCCAGCUCUGGUGCACAUGAAGAUGAAUGUGUCUUAUAGUGCCCUGUGUGCUCAAUACCCAUCAACACACGUACACACACACACACACACACACACACACACACACACACACACACCCCAUCUGCAUAUGUGAUUCUUCCUACUGAUCCUUGGUGCUAUUUUAUUAGGCAUUUUACGUGUAUGGUCUCCUAGUUGCACUCUGCCUGUGUUGCCUAUAAACCCAGAAGAAAGAGCUACAGAACUAGUUUUCCAUUUCAGCGAGAUGCAUUUAGAUUAUAAAAUUCCUUAAUUGGAAGGCCAAUGAGAUAACAAACUUGAUAAUUUAUUUAUUCAAGAGCAUGAAUAACUGAUCUCCAAGUCCAGUGCUGUGCACCGAGGGGUGUAUCUGUCAGAAGUGGCCCCUAGCCCACAGGAGCUCACAGUCUAGUUGAGACAAGAUACAUAAACAGGAACAACCAGAGAACAACCAGCUCGAAGGCAUUAUUUAAUCAAGUGCAAGCUAGCGCGGCAGAGCCCUCACACUGAGAGACAGAGGAAUCGCAAGAAGAGAAAAUUGUUCCUUGUACCCUUGCUGCCCCUCCAAGGUCAUGCUCCAUCUCCUUCCCCAGAUUCCAGGUCAUAUGUGGGUCCCCAAUCUCCUUGUCGGCAUUCUGGCCUCUUCCAGCCUGUUCUCCAUAUUGAAAUAGCAGGGCCUCUCUCGAAAGGCAAAUCUGACUAUGGUAUUUUCCUUGAACUUAAGGGAAAACCCAGACCCUUUAGCUUGGUCUGCAAAAUCCAACCCCCAAACCCCAGCCAGAAGGGCCUGCUGUUUCCUCAGAAAGAAGCCUUGCUUCCUCCUAUCAUAGUUGAUCUUCUCUCCACUUCCAGUGUCUUUACCCCCUCAGCCCCGCUGAUUACCUCCAAUUCCUCUUCAGUCUCAGCUUAGGCUUCCCCCCUUUAGGAAGGCUCCUCGAACUCCCUGAGACUGGGCUAGUGCACCCUGUUCCUCCCAUUGCUCUUGAACCUUCCCUGGCUGAUGCUCAUUACGGGGCAUUCUCAGCAUCCAUGACUGUGGACCCAUGAACUGAGUAGCUCUGGAGACAGACUUCUGGGUUUGAAACCAAGACCCAUCAUUGACUCCUUUCGUAAUCUUUUUUUUUUUUUUUCAAUUGUAGCAUAGUUGAUUUCCAAUAUUAUAUUAGUUUCAAGUGUACCACAUGGUGGUUCAAUACUUUUAUACGUUAGAAUCCAUUUAAAGUUACUAUAAGAUAGUGACUGUAUUCCCUGCAACUGGCUUUGUAAUCUCAAGGUAAAUUGCUUAUCUUCCCCAUGUCACCAUGUUUUCAUCUGUAAAAUGGGAAUAAUGAUGGUACCUAUAGCACAGGGCUGUUGUGAGGAACAAAUGAGAUUGUACAUGUAAAAGUGCUUGGAUUGGGGCCUGGCACAUACUCAGUCCUUAAAUUAGCUGUAUCAGGACGAUGCUGGCUUGUUAAGGUAAUUGCAAUGAUGUGUGAUACAUGUACAUGGAUGGACAUGCAUGCACUGGGUACACAUACAUGUCUAUAACAUAGAACCUUAUGUGAUAGAAUAGUCUUAGCUGUUGCUGUGACAAUUACCGGUUCAUAUCCCUCUCAACACUGUAAACCCCUGCUCCCUCACAGAGGACGCUAUGGCAGCCAAUCCUGAAGACUGAUGGUCAACACCCAACCCUGGGACUGGACUGUAAGCCCCCAGGCCUGCCGUUUGGAAGACUCUAUUCUAAAGGGAAGGGCAGGGGGGCCAGGCAUAUUUAUGGCUGAAUUUCUGGCUCUGAGAAGGGUGCUUUGGAUGUGGAUGAUGUUUGAUAAUUAUUUUGUGAAUGAAUAGAGGCACUGAGUUGUGUCUGGUGUCUUAUGGGAACAGAAUUUUUGAUAGAGUGGAAGAAAAAGCAGGAUUGGGUUUGUUGGAAGUGAGUGGGGAAGCUGGUCCUACUUGCAGGAACAGCAUGAAGGGGCCAAGGAACAGAGGUUGUGUGGGGUCCAGAAACAGCACCUGCCUUUUCUGUGCCCUCGGAAUCAUUUUCUCACUUAAACCUGCACACAUAGAGAAGAUAUGCCUGACUGGAGGAGAUAACUGGCCUAUUAGAGCACUGAAAGCAGGGCAGUAAAAAUAGAGAUGGGAAAAAACACAAAGGAAGAACAGUAAAAACAAGAAUUCAACAUGUAAGCAAAAUAGCUUUGAUUGCAAAAUGACUACCAUAAAAUUAUAAUUUCAUAUGAAUUUUAAAACUAACCUUUUACAGAUUAUAACAGUAAUACAUAUUCAUUGCUGAGACUUUGAGAUGUGCAGAAAAGCAGACAAAAAAUAAAAAUUACCCAUAA